GAAGAAUAAUGGACAAAGAAAGUAAAAAACGAUGAAAGAGAAGAAGAAAUAAAAUUAUGUAGAGUUUCUUUCUGCCUACAAACUGUGGAAAACUUCUUAUUCACUUUGCAACUACAAAAUACUGUGAAUUACAAUGUUAUGAAUACUAUAUUCACUUCAUUACAAGAAUAAAGGUUACUCCCUCUAUUUAUAGAUUUAGGUUAACUUGGACCUCAAGCCAAAGCCCAAAAUUAUAAAGGUCCAAAAUAGCUAACACUACUAAAAUAGGCCUAAGUCGAAAUCCUGUGUGAAGCAACAUGCAUCGACACUUCGACACACUAACCCAACUCAACACCCUAGGUGGUUCGACACUUCCUUGUUCUGUCGAGCAACCUUCUUUGACACAAGGAAUUACAAUUAAACACACCACCUAAUUCAUUGUGUCUAAGCUAUCUACAUUCAUCAUAACUCUUAGUCU
rnacentral:lncRNA from 1 species